rnacentral:rRNA from 1 species
GACGAACGCUGGCGGCGUGCUUAACACAUGCAAGUCGAACGGAAAGGCCCUGCUUUUGUGGGGUGCUCGAGUGGCGAACGGGUGAGUAACACGUGAGUAACCUGCCCUUGACUUUGGGAUAACUUCAGGAAACUGGGGCUAAUACCGGAUAGGAGCUCCUGCUGCAUGGUGGGGGUUGGAAAGUUUCGGCGGUUGGGGAUGGACCCGCGGCCUAUCAGCUUGUUGGUGGGGUAGUGGCUUACCAAGGCUUUGACGGGUAGCCGGCCUGAGAGGGUGACCGGCCCCAUUGGGACUGGGGUACGACCCAGACUCCUACGGGGGGCAGCGGUGAGGAAUAUUGCACGAUGGGCGGAAGCCUGAUGCAGCAACGCCGCGUGCGGGAUGACGGCCUUCGGGUUAUAAACCGCUUUCGCCUGUGACGAAGCGUGAGUGACGGUAAUGUGUAAAGAAGCACCGGCUAACUACGUG